AGAAAUAGAAUAUGUCCAAGACAAUUUAAAGGCGAAGUACAUGAAGCUUGCUAAAUAUGUGUCUUGCCAAGAAAUAAGACACAACACCAAUGCUCUUAAUGAGCGCAAAGGAACAGCACAAUCUAACAGAACAGUCUGAAAUAGCACAUAAUUCUUUCCUUCAUCUCCAAAAGAAUAAUAAAUGCUUGUAGAAGACUGGAAAACUCCAGGAAAUCAGAAAAUCAAACAGACAGAGAGUAUUCAUAUGGCAUGGGCAAAGUGUAUUCAAAGCUCCUAAGGAAAGUGGUUAGUUAUUCUGGUUACUUUAUUUGGAACCUCCUCACAUUCCUAUGGAGGUAGAAGAAUUACUAGAAAGUGAAGAACUGAGUGUCUUGUUGGGCCACUUCAGAAAAAUUCCAGGUUUAAGUUGUAACUACGCAUUCCAAGUCAAGAGAAAGAUUGCCUUCAAAUUGUUUCUGAGAAUAUGAGAGAUGAAAAUGGCAGCAGGGUGACAAUGCCCGCAAAAGGAAUUUAAUGUGCUUGUAAGAGCGAGCAGUAUGAAUAGCUUGUGGGUAUAAAAGAGUCUUCUAUAAGUAGACUGCAAACAGAGUCUAUAUAAUUUUCAGGCAGUAAACAAAGUAGUUUAAUCAUCAAGUUCCUUCACUUCUUUCCUCUGCCUUUAAAAGAUCUGCCAGGUGAGUCCUUCCCUGUCAAAGAGAAACUAGAGCUGGUCUUCAAGUCCUAGUACCUCUGGAAGUAAAGUGAUGCUUUGUGUUUCAGUUUCCAUUUACGUAUCUGAAUAGUAUUAUGUAUAAGGAAUGUUUGGCAUACUUCUAGUCAACCCUUAGUAGAAAAUAAAUGUUCCAUUUAAAAACUGAACAUCAGUUUUGCAUGUCUCUUCUAUUACUUUAGAGUGACUUGAAAGAGGCAGAAAAAGAGAGGCAGCUGAGUCCCCAACAGUGUUAUAUACUCACUUGCAGGACCUCAAAUAGAAUAUUGCAUAGAUAGAAGUUCAAGGCUGCCUUGGGAUGCCAAAAAGUCAAGUGUAUCCCAUGACUUUAGUGAUAUUCCACCUUAUUUAUUCUUAAAUGUA